rnacentral:rRNA from 1 species
UACGUAGGGGGCAAGCGUUGUCCGGAAUCAUUGGGCGUAAAGGGCGCGUAGGUGGCCCGGUCAGUCCGUGGUGAAAGCGCGGGGCUCAACCCUGCGUCGGCCAUGGAUACUGCCGCGGCUGGAGCACUGUAGAGGCAGGCGGAAUUCCGGGGUGUAGCGGUGGAAUGCGUAGAGAUCCGGAAGAACACCGGUGGCGAAGGCGGCCUGCUGGGCAGUGGGGGAGACCCCUUCAACUGGACACUGAGGCGCGACAGCGUGGGGAGCAAACAGGAU